GGGAAGGCCAACAAUUUGCACAAUCAUUUUCUCUCCUCAAAAUUAUAUGUUUGACUCUUCGAAAUGCUGAGUAAUUUUUUGUUUGUUUAGAUCUCAUAUGGCUACAGUGUUGAUUUAUGAUUUAACAGAAGCCAGAUCUCAGCAGUCUAAAUCCUAGCAGAGGCAUCUGUCAAGUCUUCUGAUGUUAGCAAGAAGGAAACAAUUUAAGAAUUAUGAUUAGCUUCAAGAGAGUAGCAAGCCACUCACCGUCAGAGGUGUCAAAGUAAAGAGCCAAUGGCAGAAGCCACACAUAAAUGUAAGAUGGACAUUUGAAGAGUCCCAGACUAAGUCAUGGGACCCUAACCCUCUUCUGUUUGUUCACGAAGUCAACUGGGUCAUAGCCACCUACUUAAAAACUAUGGGUUAGCAUGCCAACCACACUAAAUGGUGAUGGGAAAAGUUACUAGUGGGGCGGGGCUGUGGUCCUGAUAGUGCUAAACAGUUUUCCUUGUACAUUCAAUAAUGAGGCCCCUG
rnacentral:lncRNA from 1 species